rnacentral:rRNA from 1 species
CCUACGGGGGGCAGCAGUGGGGGAUAUUGCACAAUGGGGGGAACCCUGAUGCAGCGACGCCGCGUGGGUGAAGGAGUGCUUCGGCAUGUAAAGCCCUAUCGGCAGGGAAGAAGCAAGACGGUACCUGACUAAGAAGCACCGGCUAACUACGGGCCAGCAGCCGCGGUAAUACGUAGGGGGCGAGCGUUAUCCGGAUUCACUGGGUGUAAGGGGAGCGUAGACGGCCAGGCAAGCCAGGGGUGAAAGCCCGGGGCCCAACCCCGGGACUGCCCUUGAAACUGCAUGGCUGGAGUGCGGGAGGGGAAGGCGGAAUUCCUGGUGUAGCGGUGAAAGGCGUAGAUAUCAGGAGGAACACCGGCGGCGAAGGCGGCCUGCUGGACCGCGACUGACGUUGAGGCUCGAAAGCGUGGGGAGCGAACAGGAUUAGAUACCCCAGUAGUC